rnacentral:rRNA from 1 species
ACGAAGGUGGCAAGCGUUGUUCGGAAUCACUGGGCAUAAAGCGCACGUAGGCGGCUAAGUAAGUCGGAUGUGAAAUACCUCGGCUCAGCCGAGGAACUGCGUCCGAUACUGCUUGGCUUGAGGUCCGGAGGGGAGAGUGGAAUUCCCGGUGGAGCGGUGAAAUGCGUAGAGAUCGGGAAGAACGCCGGCGGCGAAAGCGACUCUCUGGUCGGAAUCUGACGCUGAGGUGCGAAAGCUAGGGGAGCAAACGGGA